rnacentral:lncRNA from 1 species
GAGGCAGUUGAGGAGAAAGCAGCCCUGGAUGUGGUCUUCCCCUAAGGCUGGGGCCUGCUCCACAAGGGCCAGGUUACAAUCAGGGUCCUUACAGCAAGCCCUCAUGCAGUCCCUGCUCCGAUGGACCCUGGGGGACGAUAAGAAGGUGGCUCCAUUCUGGACGGAGGCAUCUGUGUCCAGCACCAAACCCGGUAUCCCUGCUGUAAAGUCCUCCAGGCACGUUUCUCCAAAGGGCUUUGUCUCCUGCUCUUCUCCGAAGACCACCCCUGCUACAAGCACCAGGCAGACCCAGAGUCCAGUCUGUCGACUUGGUCUUCCUCUGGCCAUCUCGGCACCCCGAUCCUCCCCACCUUCUGACCUUAGUCCUUUCCUGUGUGGCCUUAGAUGGGACCGAUGCCAGGAGUGGGGUGCCCCCCUGGUCCUCUACACCUUCCUCCCUCAGGUGUGCCCUCGGCAGCGUCCAGUGCAGACAAAGGCAC